AUUGGAUGAGCCUAUGUCGNGAUUAGCCUAGUUGGUGAGGUAAUGGCUCACCCAAGGCAACGAUCCGUAGCUGGUCUGAGAGGAUGAUCAGCCACAUCGGGACUGAGACACGGCCCGAACUCCUACGGGAGGCAGCAGUGGGGAAUAUUGGACAAUGGGCGAAAGCCUGAUCCAGCCAUGCCGCGUGUGUGAAGAAGGCCCUCGGGUUGUAAAGCACUUUCAGCGAGGAAGAACGCCUAGUGGUUAAUACCCAUUAGGAAAGACAUCACUCGCAGAAGAAGCACCGGCUAACUCCGUGCCAGCAGCCGCGGUAAUACGGAGGGUGCAAGCGUUAAUCGGAAUUACUGGGCGUAAAGCGCGCGUAGGUGGCUUGAUAAGCCGGUUGUGAAAGCCCCGGGCUCAACCUGGGAACGGCAUCCGGAACUGUCAAGCUAGAGUGCAGGAGAGGAAGGUAGAAUUCCCGGUGUAGCGGUGAAAUGCGUAGAGAUCGGGAGGAAUACCAGUGGCGAAGGCGGCCUUCUGGACUGACACUGACACUGAGGUGCGAAAGCGUGGGUAGCAAACAGGAUUAGAUACCCUGGUAGUCCACGCCGUAAACGAUGUCGACCAGCCGUUGGGUGCCUAGCGCACUUUGUGGCGAAGUUAACGCGAUAAGUCGACCGCCUGGGGAGUACGGCCGCAAGGUUAAAACUCAAAUGAAUUGACGGGGGCCCGCACAAGCGGUGGAGCAUGUGGUUUAAUUCGAUGCAACGCGAAGAACCUUACCUACUCUUGACAUCCUGCGAACUUGUGAGAGAUCACUUGGUGCCUUCGGGAACGCAGAGACAGGUGCUGCAUGGCUGUCGUCAGCUCGUGUUGUGAAAUGUUGGGUUAAGUCCCGUAACGAGCGCAACCCUUGUCCUUAUUUGCCAGCGAGUAAUGUCGGGAACUCUAAGGAGACUGCCGGUGACAAACCGGAGGAAGGUGGGGACGACGUCAAGUCAUCAUGGCCCUUACGAGUAGGGCUACACACGUGCUACAAUGGCCGGUACAAAGGGUUGCGAGCUCGCGAGAGUCAGCUAAUCCCGAAAAGCCGGUCUCAGUUAGUAUCGGUGUGUGCA
rnacentral:rRNA from 1 species